UGCACAUAUGGACCAUUCACUUAAGAGUUGGACUCGAUGAUCCUUGUGGAUCCCUUCCAACUCACAGUACUCUCUGAUUCUGUCAUAUUUGUUUCUUACCUUUGAACUACAUGACCAGGAGCUGCUUUCAGCCUUCUCUGAUUCUCUUGAAACUCCCUAAUGAUGUUCCCAAUUCACAUUAAUUUAUCUGAAUCUUUUUAUGAAAAUAAGUGUCCUGACUGCUGCUGCUGAAGCAGAAUGGAACAGCAAGUCUUGUGCCAUUGGUAUUAUAUAAGGCAGUACAGACACAAAUGAGCAGUGUUACUAUGGGAUGAACUAAGGGUAUCUGGGAUAGAUAAUAUGAUUGUAAUCUUCUUGUUGAGAAAAGACUAAUUCUGUCUUCGACAUAUUGGUCAAAUCCUCCUAAAAUUAGUGAUAAUCAGUACAGUCCUGGACAAUCACUUCUAUUGCAGUAAUCAGUGUCUUCUCCUUGAGAAAGUGUAUUUCAAGCAAGUUGCAUUGCUUGUAUGAGUAGUGACAUUGAUGAUGAUGGGGUCAGAAUCAUGUGUAAAUAACAAUAAAUUAAUAUGGAAAUAAUGAUAACAUAUGAAUGGUAUGAAGUUUUGGGGGCAAAAAAGCUAACAGGUCCCAGUUAACAUUAGAGUUGGAUUGUAGGCUUGUAGCAAGCAACAGUUUCAAAUAAUACAUGUUAAUUUCUACAUUUUUAGUAUUAGCUUUUGCAGUUCAUCACUGGCUUGCAUUUUUAAAGCUUUUCUUUUUGUCAGCCUGACAAGUUAAACCUCUAUUUACAUCUUUGGAAGCACUGUCAGAGGAGGUAUUUUCAAAAUGCAAUGUCAGUAUUUUGGUGACACUGACUGUGUGCUGUAAACAAUCCCUCAGUUCCAGCUGGCUUGCUGUUUUAGUGCAUGCUUUAUCUCCAGCUGCAGAUGCAACAUGCAGUUCUAUAUAGGGAUUAUCAUAUCUGGCAUCAGAUAAUCAAAAUAGUUUGCAGAGCUGUUUUUACAUUUCCACUGUUCUUUUAAAGACUAGAUUGUGCUUUCCGUGGCAUUUUUACUUGUUUCAAAUUUGUUUGUUUGUUUGUUCCUAUAGCAACUGUAUUUUUCUGCCCCCAGAGUCUUAAACCUGAUAGCUUUUAAUAGAUAGUCGUAGAAAACAGGCUUUUAAAAUACAUAUUUUGGUAGGUAAAAUUCUGGAUGUUCACUUUUGCAGGAAUUGGUGACUUCAGCUUUAAACCUCCAGUCCAAAAAAAUUGUUUGCUAUGUCUAACAUGUUGGUGGAGCAUUUGGGGGGAAGGUACUAAACCAUCACUAUUUGUUGUAAUUGCAGUUUUGGCAGCCAACAAGUAAGUUGAUUUAACUAAAUCAAAGGAGUGAUUUAACUAAAAUUAAUUAAAGGUGACAGGACUAAAUGCAAAAGGAACUUCAGUCCUGAACUCUCCUUGGAGGGUUAUCCUGAUGACAUCAUCUUUUUUAUCUCUUUGGCAGUAAAUCUUGGAUAGAGGCUUGAAAAUUCUCUAGCCUCUUGGCAAUGGUAUUCAUUUACUGUCUGAAAGCCAGAACAAAUGAAUGGAGGCAGUUUCCCUCUGGACUGAUCUGUGUAAAUCCCAUCAAAAAACCUCAGGCUUCUCUGAGGCAUGGUGGCAUGAAUUUCACUCCAGAUAUUCAGUGAAAAUGGUUUUUAUCCUAAUACAUAGGUGCACUCACAUCAGCCCUUUGUGCCACAGCUCUCCUGUACUUGGACUUCCUUUCCUUUCCCUGUCCUGUCCAUUCUUCAGGGAACUUGCAUCUCCCUGUUGAGAAGCUGAAGUGAAAACUACUGAAUGCUCAUUUCGUCUACUUUGUUACUGUUGCAAAAAAACCACACUAAAAACAACAAAAACCCAAGAAGAACUUGCUGAAUCAGCCUAACCUCGGGCAUGACAGAUGGAACAUGUAACCCAGAGCUAGUGGACUAUGCCCUUUUAUUCAAAUGUCAUCCAGAGUUACUGAAGUUUUUUGGAUAACUGCUGGUGUGCUUUGCCUCUGCUUUGUUCAAAAUGAGGAUGUUCCUGGGAUCUGAGCCUUUUGGGCUGGGAACUCACCUGUGCUAUGGAGAUAUGACCUUAAUUACCUGCUCAAUUACAAGAAUGCCACUGUUCACUAGAGGUAAGUUCGUUGAUUUCCCAACC